rnacentral:rRNA from 1 species
GAUGAACGCUAGCGGCAGGCUUAACACAUGCAAGUCGAGGGGUACAGGAGAAGCUUGCUUUUUGCUGACGACCGGCGCACGGGUGCGUAACGCGUAUACAAUCUACCUCUUACUGAGGGAUAGCCCAGAGAAAUUUGGAUUAAUACCUCAUAGUAUGUUGAUUUGGCAUCAGAAUAACAUUAAAGGUUACGGUAAGAGAUGAGUAUGCGUUCUAUUAGCUAGUAGGUAUGGUAACGGCAUACCUAGGCGACGAUAGAUAGGGGGCCCUGAGAGGGGGAUCCCCCACACUGGUACUGAGACACGGACCAGACUCCUACGGGAGCAGCA